GCAGUGGGAUCAAAGGAAAGAAGUAUAAUUUGUACUUCAAAAUUUCAUAUCGAAUGGCGACAUUACUGGGGAAGUUUUAUUUUAAUACUUGGCGAGUUUUACCAUUUAAACACCAAUAUCGUUUGGGAUUAUAUAAGAAAGAGGUUGAAUGUUUGCUUUUGAAAAGCCAGAAAGCAUUCUAUGCCAAUGUUAUUGCCCGAAAUGAA